UCUGCUUAUGGGUAUAUUUCCUAUUUAAAAAGCUUUACACAUUUUUUACUGACAUUGACAUUUUGAAAUUGAUUUGGAAACUGAAAGUUUCCAGUUUCAGAAUGUCACUACUACAAUAUGUAGCUCAUGAAGAUACCCUUGUUUUGACCCUUAAACUUGCUGUUGCUCACUGCUAGUUUAUAAGAGAGCAGGUAUGUCCUCUUUGCUGUGUCAGGCACAAAUCCUGAUCUGAAAUUGCACAAUUUAGAGGCUGUGUCCUGCCACACACGUGUGUGUUCUUCUGUUUGGCCCUGUGUGCAGAAGUGCAAGAUUCCAGGUCAACUGGUUAAAUAAUGUGGGUGUCUGUAGAGGAGUGUUACACUGGAUAAAUCAUUUUACAUCACAGUUUAACUGAACUGAUAGGGAUGUUUCAGCAGGCAAGAUUCUAGUGUGAAUUUUCUAUCCUUCCUCAAACAUCAUAAGAAUUAUGUGUUAUAAUUCUUCCAAACAUUUUUUGUUUUAUUUUGCUUUUCCUGCAUCUCUCACACAUCCUCCUGCGUACACAACAGCUUCUCAUAACUAGGGAUGUGCCAUUUAAAUUAUUUAUCACUCUGGUACUUUCUGAUGCUCCCUGACAAGAUCUAUGAUGCUCUUGUUUAGCCCACCUUGCGCAUCCUGAGGGACUAAUUUUGGUGCAAACAAAUAUUUUUCUAGCAGUUUUUUCAUCCCUGUGUCUUGCUUCACAUCAAAAGAGCCCAUUUCCACUAGAACAUUAAGCAUCACAGGAUUCCAGCAUUACAAUCCUUUUUGGAUGUAUGGAGCAAAAAUAAUUAUAAUCUACAGCAGAAGGAACAAACUGAUAGCAAGAAUGUUCUGUCUAAUGCCCAAUACGUUUCAGUCAGGCUGAAGUUUGUGCUAACUGCUGGAUGGCUGCUACCAUGUAUCAGGAGUGCCCUAUAACCACUGCUCCAGGCUGCAGACUCAUAAAACCACCUAGAGACUUCGCUUUCAGGCAGCUCAUACUUCCUUUGUUUAGCAAAUACCCUGUGAACUCCACAACCUGCCAAAUUAUGCAGCCUUUGGGUACACCGUAGAGCUGAUCUUGCCUUGCCUAUUUCCCUACCUGUCCAGGAAGGAACAAGCUGCUGCUAAUUUUCAUAAAAAGGAUGUGGGAUUGUUCGACGCGGGUCCUUUCUCAUGAUUCGGUAGUUUUAUUGCAGCUAUAAGAUGCACAGAAUCCAGAGCAAAGCCUACUGUUUUACUUUAUGUACUCUAAGAGGUAAAUAAUAUAUGAGAUCAAAGAUAUUUUUGCUGCCUUCCUGGCUUUUUGUUUUACUGUUCCAUUAUGCAGACAGCUACUUAUUUAGGCUUUAUAUCAUUCUGUUUCUUUUGAUGGUGUUGCAGCCUAUAUCCAAAGCAGAAGAAUAGUGUUCAAAAUAUAGGUCACUAUUCUUUUGUUUUCUUUACUUAUGCAAGGUAGAAUGAACAAUAUAUAAAUAUAUAUUUUAAACCUGUGACUUACAGGGGCUUAUAUACAGUAUAUUGAUUAUGAAUAGCACUUAAAAACUGUGAGUCUAAAUAAUUAUGUAUCAGACUUCAGGGUUAUAUAUGUUUUUUGAAAGUUGUUUUUUUAUAUAUGUUUUUAUGUUCCUACCAGUGAAUCCAUCAAAGCCCUGUCAGGAGCCAUGGUGUACAGACAAGCUUAGAGGCAUAGGUGUACACUUGCACAUGAGAAUCAUGCCCAUGUCUAACGUAGUAUGUGACCACCAUGACUAAAGCAGGCAAAUAUGCUGGUCUUCUGCUAUGUAUAAUCAGUUUAUGAAAUCUGAUGUCCUAAGGUAGAAAGUGGGAUUGCCACUGUGUGUUCUUUGUUCUCAUUUUAUGAACUAUGUUGAGGCACCAGGCAGGCAGGCCUGGCUUAGCAUGACCAUCACCUGUUCCAGCCAGUGCAACACUCUGGAUCAAGUCCCUUUAUAUCUCCAGAAGCAAUAAGAAUAUAAUGAAUUCAGCUUUUUCUCCCCACGUGAAGCUCCUAGUUAGUAUGAAUGAGAUGAGGCUGUGUCUGCCACGCUGUGAAACAGCAGCGAGAGUUGAAGAGUAGAGUGAGUAUCUGAGACACCAACACAGAAUGACACAGACAAAUUGCUGCUCACAUAUGAUAAUGAAACAAAGGAGAACCAAAGCAAAAAUGAAGCAAGGGCACAUGAGACACAGUAAGAGGAAAUUACAGCUAUGGAAACUGUGGAGCAGGUUUUCUUUUCUCCAGCAGAUGGUAGGAUUUUCUCAGCUACAGUCAGGCAACAGCAAGAAAAAUCACCCAAAUCUUUAUCUCUGAAAAGCCAUCUCCAGCCUCUUUUGGCUUGUAGAUUCCUACAAUUCUAGGGGAAUUAGGAUAAUAAGAUUAAGCUGCUGGAAGAAAUGUGCAAGGUACCUGGCAUUUCUGCUAGCACUAGUCCAUGUAGCUGAGGUUUAAGCUACAUGUCAUAUCUUUUCCAUAAUACAUGCAAAAGCCCACAGACAGCGUCUUCCCACCCAGGUCUAACAUGCAGUUUAGGGAUAUCAGAUAAGAAAAUGUGCCUGAUAGAAGGCUAUUUCAGCUUCUGAGUCUGAGCUUUGCUGAAACUGCAAUGAGAGGCAAAGCUUCUGUCUGUGCUCUCUCAAUGCAAGCAGAAUUUAAAAUAGAUGGAAAUUCAAGAAGGUUUUCCCACUCUUCAAGAAGGCAGAGAGGACUGAACAAGGCGGUGCAGUUUCUGCAUGAGCACAUGCAUUCUUUUCAAAAUCAAGGUCAGUGGAGCAGAGUUAAAGUUGCUUAAAGUUGGCUCCCUCAUUUUUCUUGUUGUUCUUCUGAGCCGUUUGUGGUGAGGGUAAGGAAAAACUAAUUUGUCUCUACAGAUGUAGAGGUUUUAUUCAUGCUCCUUUGUUUCCGGGUGAGCCUUACUCUCCUAUCUUUUAUAUGUGCUUAGAACUUGCAAAUUAGCAGAAUUCAGGUUUUGCCAUACUCUUCCCUAUAUUAACAGCUUCUGAGUGGAUAGGUAUUCAACCAUCUGCCAGGCGUAAUGUGUAGGAGGUGGCCAAGUCACUCUGUCAGCUCUAGGAAGGUAAAGAGGCCCUGAAUAAUUUUCUUGCUGCUUUUACUGUAAACAUUUGCAGCUAUCUGCAAUCCCUGGAGCAUCACAGACGUCCGCAGAGCUUCCAAACCUAUUUUCCAUCUGUUGCCUCUGCAACCUACAACAGCAAUAAUGUGCCCCAGAAGAUUUUGCUGCUUUCCCCAACAGCAAGAGCAACAUUUGGAUCCUUCUGCUGUGUGCUGGUGUUGAUGGGAGCUGGCAAAUAGCAGGAGCUAACAGCUUCAGAGCCCUGCAGAUAGGGUUAGAUGCAGAGCUGGCCUGUGACUGAAGCCAUAUACUGACUGUGCUGGGAAGUGUGAAGCUCACGUAUGAUCUGAUGGACAGUGCCGUGACCUGACACUUGCAUGCCCAGAGCUGUUAAUGUGAUUGCCUCCACCUCUGCAGAUGGCAGAGCCUUGGCUCCGCUUGGAUCUCCUUUCUGGCCAGAGCAGCUAACCCAACAAAUGAAAACCAGUCUGCUGCUCUUCACCAGGAGGAGGAAGGGUGAAAGUGGGUUUGUUGUGUCCUCUGGGCAUAACCCACCGGUGGGAUAGUUCACUGUUUGGGGAUACAGCUGGAGGCAGGAAGAAGGAAGGAGCUCCCAGAGCUAUUAGAGGGAGUGACUUGGGAAGAAUAUCUCCAAAAAGAAAUAAUAUCUAUUUAUUCUGUGACCAUUGCUAUGCCGUGAUAUACUGAAUUGAUUUCUCUUUGUCAUGGAUGCACUUCAGUAGUGUAUAAUUCCCAUCCAGGCACUCCUUCCCUCAGUGCUUCACCUUUGUAUGGCCUAUGCCAGCCGUGUGGUGGGAUGCUGGAGGAAGCUGCCAUUCUUCUCUUUCAGAUUUUCUUUGCCACAGCUGGAUUCACAGAUCCAUGCACAGAAAGAACAAUUUGAGAGCUCGCUUUUAUUUUCCCUAGGUAUUAAGGUACAUCACUAAACCACCAAACAGUUAUUUCCUAAUGGUACUUUUUUUUCCUGUAAAUGAGGUGAAGAUGAGAUUUUAUGUGACUGUGAUGCGAAGAUGGGAAAGCAUCAGGGAGAGUGUUUCUGAGAAGGGGAGAGAUUGAGUAAGAAGACAACAAGUCUACUGGAAGAAAGAAAAGAGAGAUAAAUGGAGGUGGAGAUACCUCUUCCCCUGUUUCAGGAACCAAAAAGUGGAAGAAAUAAAAGCAUCUACUUAACAGAGCAGAACUGAAACAGUGUGAUGAAACUUGUGCUGUGAUGACACAGCUGUGACUGUUGCCACCACUGUUUGUUUUCAUGUCACUUGGAGAAAUAACCCAGUUCUCGACUGUGAUCCUCCCUUGGCCUUGAAUCCACAAAACGCAAUUAUUGGAAGCAGAUCUUCAAAUCCAUGCCUGCACUAUGGAACAUGUACCCUCAACUGGAGCAGGAAAUUCAGAAAUGGAAUAAGGAAAAGGCUGGGUGCCGAGAAGAUGGACUGAAGAAAAGACAGCCACCAGUUUACACAGCCUGUUCAGAAAAGAGACCCGAGUGCAGCUGCCUAAGUCCCAGUCUGUCACUCCAGCAGCUCAAUUGUCAACCUCUGUCAUUGAAAGUCAAUGGGAAGUCAUUGAAAUGGCACCUAAUGUGUGACACACCUAGUGGGUCUGUAUUAACACACAUUGGUGUCUUCAUACCUAGCUUGAUUCUAUUCUUUUCUUGGGAGGAAUCACACUUACACUGCUUAGUUAUUCAUUCAUUUUAGUGGGACCUCUAGCAAUAAAAUCAGCCAUGCAUGUUUCAUGAAGCUGUAAUUAGACUUUUUGUCCUGGCUUUAGAAACUGAACUUGUGAAGUAGUAGCAUAGAGAAUUGACAGUGGGGAACAACAGAAAGGAGGAAUUCAUGUAUUUUUACUUCACAUCAAGUCCAUUCUGUGAUAAGGAUUCCAAAGCCUAAUUUUAGUUUGUUCUGACUGCUCACAGCAUUUCUCAGCACGACAAACAGAGGCACACUUGAGCUUUCGGUGAUGUGCACAUUAAGCUGCAGGAGACCUUCUUGUCCUCUUCUUUGGGAAAUGCCUCAAGCAGCAGAUGCUGGGCUAGAGUGAUACAAGCUUUGAUUAGAAGGAAGACUCUCUUUGGAACACAUAAUAGUGGCAUAAUGAUGUACAAACAGUAGCCACUGUGUGUAUGCCAGUGGCUGGCAGGUGAAUACCGCUCCCAUAGCCUCCAUCUAUCGCAGUGUCACUGCAGCAGGCUCACAUUGGCUUCCCUCUCAGUUAGCAGCACUGAUGCUGUUGGUUAGCCGGAGAGGCAGCUCAGCAUGCACAAGCACAUACGGCUCCAAGAGGAGCUCUGGAGGUCAUUGGCUCACAUUUCAGGCUCCCUGGCAGGCUGCCUGACAGCAGUCUUUUGAUUUCUUUGUGCAGGAAAGCACUGCAACUUGGCUUUGCAACCCUGGGUUAAGGCAGAUGUGGCCUGGUGCAGGCAGUGCUCAGCUAAUAUGCUGGGCACCUCCACUGUGCUGCAGAGAGGCUUCUGCACACCUCUGGACCAAUGGAUCCAGCAUAAGCAGUGGGAGAACUACUUCAGAGUGCUUACAGGGCUCAGCCUGGCACACAACGGAGCAUGGUUUGCUUACUGAUAGGAAAGAUCUGCUUGCUACCUCCAGGGCAAGCUGCUUAUCCUUGCAUUGCUCUGCAAGAAAUGUGGGCAUGCACCUGAGCUCUCCCAUUGCCCCACCAACUGAGAGCAUCCAGCUACAGAAAGGCCACUGCCAGUAAAGUUGAUUUCCAGCACCACUUCUUAUGUGGAGAGGAGAUUUUUGAUGUCAGCAAAGGUGAAACGUUUGUCUUCUGAAACAGAAGCACGACGUAUCUGUUACACAUCCACAUUAAGCACCUGUUGGUCUCAUUGCAGUAAGGCAGAGCUCCGCACCAUGAGAUGAAACUUUUCCCACGUGCAGCUCCCAUAGUUUGUCUGCUUUCCAUUCUCCAGCACUUACUGUGUGUUUGUCUUUUCGAUAACUCUAACCAAAAGUUGGCAAGUGACUUCAGUGCCAGAGUUAAAUAAAAUCUCUCUUUUUUACCCAA